GACGGAGACACGAUGAUGCAGGGACCCGAGGGCGAAGCCUCUAGAAGGCGGCGGGAAGCGCUGGCCCUCCCUGCAGCCCAGGCUGUCGUGGGAGGCGCGUGGGGGCAGGGCACCUGUGUCAGCGGCCCCUGAAACAGGAGGGCGGAUGAAAGCAAUCAAUGCGUGUAAGGCCCCGGCUCCGUACUGGCCCGUGGAAGGCUCCCGAGCAGAGCCUGCUCCCUCCAUCUGCUGCCUGGGAGGCCUGUGGAGGAGGCGUCUCACCAGGAGCCCGCAGAUGGCUCACGUCCUGGGGCCUCCCGUUGGCAGGAUGAGCCUGACACGCCUGCGACGCCCACCCUCUCCCACCCUCCCUGCUUAUUCCGGGGCUCUCUCUCCUCCCUCCCCCUUCCCCACCCGCAGGGCACCCCCACACACACACCAGUCACUGUCUGGGGCCACGAGGGGCCCCAGCUCCCCCAAGGGCAGCGCUGGCGGGGUCUGGUCGGGCUUCCGAGUGGCUGGCGUCUCCCUGUGCGGCUGUUACAAAGCUGGCAGAUUGCCGGCGGCCAGAAAGGCCGGGUGGCCGGGCCUGCAGGCAGAGGGACAGAGCCAAAGGAACAAAGAAAUCAAAACACGCCGAUAGUCUUUAAUUAAACCAAGUCUGAAGGCCCACCAUGAGAAGGACCACACUGGCUGUCCGAAAAUCCGAGUGGCAUCGCGGGUAAUCGCGGUCCCAGAGAAGAGAACGCAGGCUUCUGAGAAUCCCAGAGCCACCCCAGAGCCAUCUCCGAGUCACAGAAUCUUAGAGAAACACCCUUUGACGGUGCUAGGGCCGCCGAAAUCCUUCAAAUCACAGAGCCUCAGAUCCCCAAAGGGUAAAAGGCAGUGUGGUCUAACGGUUUAAAAAAGGGACUGGAUUCAAAUCCUGUCUUCGUCAUAGCUUAGCUGUGUGACCUUGGGCGAGUAACUGACCUUCUCUGUGUUUCAGUUUUCCUUACCAUAAAAUCAGAGUAGGGCUGUUGUGAGAAUUCUGUGAAUGCUGUUUCCUCAUGCCCUUAAGCCAAUAUAUCUUAGAAGCAGAGUCUUCCAGGGGUCUUGACUCGAACUACUUGUUGCAUCUCUUAUAGAGCAUUCCCAGCAGAUUCCUGUCACCUCUGAAGCAGAGUUCACAAAACAGCCAGUUCCACUUGUAUUACUGAGUAGCUCUGAUUGAGCGCGGCUGUCCUCCUAGGGGCGUGCACCCAUCCUGGGACCAGCUGUGCCCUGCAUUUUUGCUCCCUCACUCCCGCAGGGCAGAUGUGCAUGAGUGAAACGGAUCUUCAGUGCUGGCAAGCUGCGCGGGGAAGGGCUCCGAGCUCCAGCCAAGUCUUGCCGACGGGGCUAUUACACCGCGCAGGGAGGCCUUCCAUGCCAGACACGAGCAGAGCCUCUUGGCUUGAACUGCACACCGCCCAGGAGCCGAAUCCCAACUGGUUUAAGGCGAUCGUGGCAGUAUCUGUCUUUAGCCCUUCACUGGUCUGGAGUGGGCACAUGGUCCAGUUCAGAGUGAUAACAAUAUAAAGAACACACUCCAGAGGGGGUGUGGGGAGUGGCAGUGCGAUUCAAGAUGAAGAUUUUCAUCCCUGAUGGAAGGGAAAGCCAAGUGAAGAGAAGGCUCCUUUGCUCCCAUCCUCCCUCCCUAUUUUGAACACUGUGUGAGCACGUGGUGCCUGGAGCUGUAGCAGCUAUUUUGUGACCAUGAGGCGUCAAGCUUGAGCAUAAGCACCAACAUGCUGAGGGUGGCCAGAGUGGAAGGGUUAAAAGAACCAGGGUGAUGAUGACAUUGUUACGCUGCAGAAUCAACAUUAGGACAAGCUACAUCGCAUAUAUUGCUAAGUGAACAAUAGAUAUCCUUAUAGGUCAA